UGCAGUCGAGCGGACAGAUGGGAGCUUGCUCCCUGAUGUUAGCGGCGGACGGGUGAGUAACACGUGGGUAACCUGCCUGUAAGACUGGGAUAACUCCGGGAAACCGGGGCUAAUACCGGAUGCUUGUUUGAACCGCAUGGUUCAAACAUAAAAGGUGGCUUCGGCUACCACUUACAGAUGGACCCGCGGCGCAUUAGCUAGUUGGUGAGGUAACGGCUCACCAAGGCAACGAUGCGUAGCCGACCUGAGAGGGUGAUCGGCCACACUGGGACUGAGACACGGCCCAGACUCCUACGGGAGGCAGCAGUAGGGAAUCUUCCGCAAUGGACGAAAGUCUGACGGAUCAACGCCGCGUUGAGUGAUGAAGGUUUUCGGAUC
rnacentral:rRNA from 1 species